AGUUGACGUGAACUUCGUGCAGUGUCCAAAAGUUGAGGAACUAUUGGUAAAGUUUGAACAGGGUGGGAACACAAGUCCAAUUAAUAUGGAGCCCCUUCAGACGGUCGUGGAUAACAAGUCACACUAUCACACCCCGAGUCCCGGAAGGCCUAGCUUUUCUCUUGGCUUGACACAGCUAGAGAAGUCACCGGCCACAACCCCUCUCAUAACGGUACAUCCAAGGCUUAAGGGUGUCAAGUUAGGUGAGGAGAAGGAAGAAAUGGUCCAGCGGUGGAUUCUGAACUCUCGCCUCGAAAAAGAUAUGCCAUUGGCUACCUAUGAAGGUAGGUCGUACCUUCAACUGUCAAGGUUGGAUCUGUGGACGCUGAAAGCGCGCGGUUGGGUCAAUAGCAAUGUAUACUGGUAUGAAGAUUGUACUUUUUUGAAAUCUCACGAUAUAUAUAGCAUCACUGGAUACUGCUUUGACAAUAGGAAACGGUGAUAAGAUAGCAUAACCUGGAUGCAUUACAAAACGGACCAGUUUCAGUGUAUGAUGGAUUCGGUCCAAAUUUCGGAGACGACAACAGAGUCUUUGACAAAGUGAAGGCAUAAAAAAGAAAUUGGUGGUUUAUUCCAAUCUGUUGGAAAGGACACUGGUAGCUGUAUGCUUUUGACGUGGCAGAGAAACGGGUGUUGGUAAUUGAUAGUCUCAAAAGUGAGGAACCCACUGAUGAAAAGAAGAAACUAGAUGCAUAUGCAGGUCGACUGAUUGAAGACAUGUCCAAAGUGGCUAUCCCAACUUACGAGCAUACUUCGAAUGGCCCAAGUAUUGCAUAUGCCUCAAUUCCCGUGCAACUCAACGGUUGGGAUUGUGGCAUCUUUGUCAUUAAAUUCAUGGAGUUAUAGACUAAAGAUUGUAAACUACAUGAAUGGGAUGAUGAUAUGCUUCUUGCUUUGAGAGUUCAGCUAAUGCUGAAUAUUGUCAUGGGAGCGCACAAUGAGUCAAUAGAACAUGUGCAAACUUUGUUGGAAGAAAAUGAGAAAUGUGUGCGCCGCAACCCUAGAAUAAAUAAGAAAAAGGAGAUGAAAUCACCAUUUACGGCGCCAAGUACGAGGACAUUGAUGCAACGGGUCGGGGAAGAACCUUUGAAAAAAAAAAACGAAGACGGAGAAAGCAAUAGUUGUACUUAGUCUUAAGAACAUAGAAACCUUUCUUAAUUUAUGUGUUUAUGGGCUUAGGUGUAUAUUUUCUUUCGCUGUUAGAGUAUUGGUAUAAGACAUAUGAUGUACAUGUUUGGUUCUCUAAGUGCUCUGAUUAUAUUUCAAGAAAAUAGCUAAGCGCAGAAAAGCUAGUGCUUAACAUUAACCAUUCAGUUAACAAUAGGA